UCCUAAGCUGAGGCCGAUAGGCGUAGGCGAUGGAUAACAGGUUGAUAUUCCUGUACCACCAUUAUUCGUUUUAAGCGAUGGGGGGACGCAGUAGGAUAGGCGAAGCGUACUAUUGGAUUGUACGUCCAAGCAGUAAGACUGAGUGUUAGGCAAAUCCGGCACUCUUAAGGUCAAGCUGUGAUGGGGAGAGGAAAUUGUUUCCUCGAGUCGUUGAUUUCACACUGCCGAGAAAAGCCUCUAGCUAGAAUUGUGG
rnacentral:rRNA from 1 species